AAAUAUAUCGAAAAAGAAGACCUUCAAACGAUAAGAAAAAAUGUAUUUAUCAAUGGAAAAAUUGCAUAAACUUUAGGUCAGUUCGUAACGAAAUUAUCAAAUACCACAUAGAUGUUACUGUUCUGAAAUGUUCUGAAAUUUGCGUAAUUUCCCAAAAUGUUGUCCUGGAUUCUGUCCUUCCUGCUUAACGGGAUCUCUUUCUGACAGGGAUAUGGUAAUACACAGUUUGUGAAAAGGAUCAUAACUAAGACCAAAUUUACGAUUAUUUAUGACACCCUACAUAUAUAACUUUUGGUAUAUUAACUUUGUACGGGUGUAUGUAACACCCACAAAGAUUUGAGAUAGAGUCAUUUUUUAUUACGCGGACCAUUUCAUUACAAACAAUCACUUUCUGAAUCAAUCUAAGAUUAUCUGUCUGUCUGUCUGUCCGUCUGCAACCAACAAGUCGAAAUUUUUAAGAUAUUUUGAUAAAAGUUGGCACGCUAAUGUGUCUUGGCUGGCGGACGAACGUUACUGAAAAUGUUUUGGAUCACAUUUCACAUCGGUAAACAUAGUAUGAAAGUAACUUUGAAAUGAUUUAAAAAAACUAUAAUGUUUCUUUUGGAAAUUGCUUUUAGUGAAUGCUUGCAAAUUGGUAUUUUGACGGAGCAAAAACCUGAAAUCCGAUGUUUCAACCCAUAUUAAGACUUUGGAACAUAUUUUUGAAUGUUCCAAGAAAACUAUACAUAAGUGCUGAAAAAAAGACCACACGAACAGUUUCCCAUUUAGUCGUUCGAUUGUUGUAUAUUAAAAAUAUCAUAUCAUUAUUCAAGUUUUCAAUAAAGUAUCACCUGCUGCUAGUUGUAAACAAUGUAAACAGCUGUUCUUUCUACAACUUUACUUUACGGUCAGCAAAUAAAACUUUAAAAUGACAAUUAAAAAAAAAAAAUAUAUAACAAAAAAAAAGACUAACUUGUUUACGAUACAGAAACUUUUACACCUGAUCAUAAGUUGUAAUGACUAGAGGAGUAAAAAAAAUUUUUUUUUUUUUUUAACAAUAACUGACUAAUAAGGAAUAGAAGUAGUUAAGGUAAAGUUUUAAAUUAUCAGCACAUUUUGCAUUUAUUCUGCAUAGAUAUCUAGUUUAUGUUAAUAGAAUUGUUUAUUCGUUAAAUAACUAUAUUGAAUAGGAGUGUGAAGUGAGAUAAAGUGAGGUGAGAGAAGCUAGUUACUCUAGAGAUAAAACAACAUUUUAAUAAUAGAGCAGCAUAUGUGCAGUGCCAGGUAUAAAAAACAAAAAAAAAAAAAAAAAAAGAAACAUACUAUUUAGGUGCCGCAAACUCGUUACGUAUUUAAUGAAGUUUUUUUUUUCUUUUUUUUUUCUUAUUCAUUGGAAGCGUGCGUUUGUAAUAAUCAUUUUAUGCAGUGCAGAAAAUAUGCAGCAGCUGCUGUUAUCAUGUAAACACUGUCGCCACAUCUUUUUCUAGAAUGAAAAUGCCGCCGCCUGCUGAUUUAGUUUCAUUUUUACUACAAUUUAUGAAUUGACUAAAGCCGUAAUUGCCAGUCGGCAUAAUCAUUACACAAUACAAUGGAUGGCUGACUGCUUGCUUAUUUGUCUGCAAUGACUGACGUUUUGAGUUAUCGUUUACUUAAGGAGUGCAAAAGGAUAUUAUAAUGCGACUUCUUUCUGCAUAUAAUCAACUACAAAAGCAAUUUCUUUCUUUCAUUUUUUUUUUUUUUUGUCGCUUUUUUAAAUUUUAAUUUUUCAUUUUGUCAUUACUUCUUUUCACCAUUAUCUGGAAAAUUUUGCAUUUUAUUUGCUACACAAGACAAGAGAAAGAGAAGAUCUAUUGUCUCGUAUAGUUCCACAAUGAAUAAAAGUUAUAUUUGCUUUGGAAGGGGAAAUGCUUUUACGACUUUUACGAUUUUUUUCACUUGCUUUAGGCUGAUCUGAUACCGGCUCUGGUAAGAAUUUGUUUGAAGGUGUGGAUUAAAAUUCGCUGUUGACUGUAAGCAAUGGUUUUUGCGAACGUACUCGUGGGCGAAUGGUGACUAUUAUUAAACUGGCUCUUUGCUCACCAAUAUGGCCGUAUACAAGGCAAGGCAAGUUUAGGCCUUCUCUGUUAAUUUUAGCGGACUUGAAACUCGAAACUUCCAAUAACAGACGACAAGGACAAGGACAACAAUAUCUUGGCAAGGAUGCCUAAUACGUUGAGUAACAAGGAUGAUGAAGGGUAGAAACACAGAAGAAAGAGAAUAGAAUAUGAUUUGAUGAAAGAGAAUAGAUAUGAAUUAUCAAAUCUACUGAGAACUGAAAGACGUUUAUGUUUUACUUUAACUGUUUCAUUUACAUACAGUUUGUGAAUAUCUUUUUCUCUCUAUUUUCGUUUAAUUGAUUCGUAUUCUUACACUGAUCCGAGCCUUAUAUUAGAAAGAAAUCUUCCCUGUUGUAUACAAAAACAUAAGUAUAUGUUAGUUCGUUAUCAGUCAGUCUAUCAGCUAGUAUAAUAGUCGUUGUGUGUGCUAUGGAAACAGCGAAAAAUUCAAGAAUUGAACGCCGCUUAAUUUAAUGUUUCAUUUAGUGUUUAUUUUAACGAUUUGGCAUUAACCGUUAUUUGUUCUAUUAAUAAAAAUUUUUUUUUUUUUUUUGACUGAAAGAAGCAAGAAAGUUAUAUACACCUUCAAGUACAUUUUAAACGAUAACUAACCAGCAGACUCGCGGUAUAUAUUUCUCAAUAAUAAUAGUCUGUGUCAGAGCCAACAUGUCGGACGUGCAAGUUUUCGUGGUAAGCAAGCGAAUAAAUUACGCAAUUAUUCUCCACCAAUUAAUAGUUUAAACGCUACUAGAGGAACUGAAUGAAUUUACAUUACACUUGAAUUAGACUUUUAAUCGUCAAAGCAUUUACAAAUAAGCAAAACGCAUAUAAUUAAAUCUAGCAAAGAUACGAUCGAUCACUUCAUCGUAAACUUCCUAUUAUUAUUUUUAUGUAAAGAAUUUUAGUUAUUUCCGCUUGGGUAGUUCCGGAAUUUUUUCAAAAAUUUAUCAAUAAAAUUCGACGGCUGUAUUUAAGUCAUAAAAAGCAACUGUAUCGAUUUCCAUUUGCGUAAGCAAAUAAAGGGAAACCUACAAACUUGUCUAUACUUCUAUAUGCAUAUUACAUAUAUAUAUGUAUGUUGUAUUCAUCAAGUGUACAGCUUGUCAUUUUAGCUAACAGUUAAGUUCUUUGUUUAAAGGAGAUUCUGUUAUGAGCAGAGCUCAUUGCUUAAGGGAUUAUCAAGUUAUUAAGUGUAAGUGACAUUUGGGUUUUAGGCUUGGAUUUUUUGGCCUAAAAACAAGUAACAACUUUCGAUCAGGUAACGCUGACUAUUCAAUAUUCUACACUACUUCGCCUAAUAGAAUUCUUCACCUAUUUUCUUAAUAGAAUACCAAAAAUUGUAUUCAAUUCUUAACUAAUGGUAAUUUUUCAUAGCAGCGUUUAUAUGAAAGAGGGUCUGAAACGUGGACUGGCAUAGUUCAAAUUUAGUAAACUUAGUUCGGUAGAAUUAAUAUCUAUGUCAAAUUAGAUUAUACAUAUAUUACAUGAAUAAGACCGAAUUCAUAAAGGUAAUGUAUUCCGACUUUUCGUUCGUAGGUAUGAAUAUUAUCCCUUAAAGAUCGACAUAUACACGAUGCGCAGCUCUGAAGUGAUUCUGCUAUUACAUCAAUUUUUGCUCCAACCACUGUUAAAGCGGUGAGAGUCGAUAUAGAAUCAAAGUAAAAAAAGGAAAGGCUUUUUGUAAUAUGUUUUUACUGUGCAACCCUGUAUGACGAAUAUGGGAAAAGGGUACUUUUUGCUUAUUGUAUAUUAAUAACAAAUUAUCUGAUCAUUAUAAUUAAAAUUUUUUUAAUAACUUUACAGUCUCCUCUUUUUUAUUUUCGCCACAUUUUUUUAAGGUGAUAUCAUGAAAAUAGCACAAAUUUGCAAUUAUCAGCGCACUGUCAAUGCAUUUCUAAUUUCAAAGGCAAACAAAAUAUCGUAAAAUAAAUACAAAAAUUUCAUCAUUAAAAAAGUUGCUUUAAAAACAAGCAAGAAUACCGGAGCAGCGCAAAGUUUAGCGAACUAAUGUAUUAAAUCCAUAGCAUCAUUAUCGUAAUCGUUUCGAAUGUAGUCGUCUAGGUUGGUCUCCUGCUGCAACAAUUUAUUUUGUAUGUUUGAUAAAUUAGAACAGCGUCAUCAUGACUAAUCUUCUUCUGUUUUCCUAAUGUUAGAUAAUACAUAGACUCAAUAAGUCUCCGCUGAUUUCUGGC